rnacentral:rRNA from 1 species
AGUGAACGCUGGCGGUAGGCCUAACACAUGCAAGUCGAACGGCAGCACAGUAAGAGCUUGCUCUUACGGGUGGCGGGUGGCGGACGGGUGAGGAAUACAUCGGACUCUACUUUUUCGUGGGGGAUAACGUAGGUAAACUUACGCUAAUACCGCAUACGACCUACGGUUGAAAGCAGGGGAUCUUCGCGCCUUGCGCGAUUGAAUGAGCCGCUGUCGGAUUAGCUAGUUGGCGGGGUAAAGGCCCACCCAGGCGACGAUCCGUAGCUGGUCUGAGAGAAUGAUAGGCGACAUGAGAAGGGGGACACGGACAAGAGGCCUAAGGGAGGGAGCAGAGGGGAAUAUUGGACAACAGGGGGGAGCAUGACACAGCCAGACCGCGUGGGUGAAAAAAGCGUUGGGGGUGUGAAGACCUUUUGUUGGGAAAGAAAAGCAGCAGGUUAAGACCCCGCUGGUCUGACGGUAACCAAAGAAGAAGCACCGGCUAACUUCGUG